rnacentral:other from 1 species
CAUGGGACGCUAGUUGUGAACAAGGUGUGAAGAGCCUAUUGAGCUACCCAAGAGUCCUCCGGCCCCUGAAUGCGGCUAAUCCUAACCACGGAGCAAGUGUCCUCAACCCAGGGGAUGGCUUGUCGUAACGCGAAAGUCUGUGGCGGAACCGACUACUUUGGGUGUCCGUGUUUCCUUUUAUUUUUAUGUAUGGCUGCUUAUGGUGACAAUCAAAGGUUGUUACCAUAAAGCAAUUUGGAUUGGCCAUCCGGUG